rnacentral:rRNA from 1 species
CCUACGGGUGGCAGCAGUGAGGAAUAUUGGUCAAUGGGCGCAAGCCUGAACCAGCCAAGUCGCGUGAGGGAUGACGGUCCUAUGGAUUGUAAACCUCUUUUGUCGGGGAGCAAGGCCCGCCACGUGUGGCGGGAGGGAGAGUACCCGCAGAAAAAGCAUCGGCUAACUCCGUGCCAGCAGCCGCGGUAAUACGGAGGAUGCGAGCGUUAUCCGGAUUUAUUGGGUUUAAAGGGUGCGUAGGCGGAAGGUUAAGUCAGCGGUAAAAUGUCGGUGCUCAACACCGGCCGGCCGUUGAAACUGGGCUUCUUGAGUGAGCGAGAAGUAUGCGGAAUGCGUGGUGUAGCGGUGAAAUGCAUAGAUAUCACGCAGAACUCCGAUUGCGAAGGCAGCAUACCGGCGCCCAACUGACGCUGAGGCACGAAAGCGUGGGGAUCGAACAGGAUUAGAUACCCGGGUAGUC